rnacentral:rRNA from 1 species
GACGAACGCUGGCGGCGUGCUUAACACAUGCAAGUCGAACGGAAAGGCCUGCUUUCCCUUGUGGAUUGCGGGUACUCGCGUGGCGAACGGGUGAGUAACACGUGAGUGAUCUGCCCCCAACUUGGGUAUAAGCCUGGGAAACUGGGUCUAAUUCCCGAUAGGACUGCAGGGUGGUGCCUGUGGUGGAAAACGAUUUUCUAGUGGUUGGGGAUGAGCUCGCGGCCUAUCAGCUUGUUGGUGGGGUAAUGGCCUACCAAGGCGGCGACGGGUAGCCGGCCUGGGAGGGUGGACGGCCACAUUGGGACUGAGAUACGGCCCAGACUCCUACGGGAGGCAGCAGUGGGGAAUAGUGCACAAUGGGCGGAAGCCUGAUGCAGCGACGCCGCGUGGGGGAUGACGGCCUUCGGGUUGUAAACUCCUUUCGACCGCGAGGAAGCCACCUGGUUGGAAGGGUGGUGACGGUAGUGGUAGAAGAAGCACCGGCUAACUACGUG